rnacentral:rRNA from 1 species
AUGCAGCAAGGUCGUGGCGCUGCCGCCGCUGCGCACGGAGAUGUGGUCGAGGGCGCGGAGACCGCGGCAGAUGUCGUCCAAGAAGUGGCCGCCAUCGGCGGUGCGGGAGAUGCUGCACCCGCAGUCGCUGGAUCGGUCCCUACGGUGGCGGAUCUGGUGGCGCAGGGGAUGGUGGGCUCGGACUCUGUCGUGCCAGACCUGGUGGUGACGGCGUCUGGCGGCGCACUGGAUGUAGGUGCGGAGAAUGAGGAAGCUGCUGGCAACAAGAGGAAGCUGGACAUCGCUGGGUUCGACGACCCGUCUGAUUCUGACGACGACGAGGAGUACAACUCUGGAGAUGAGGUGGAAGAGUGGAACCACAAGUCCUUCAUUGAGCAUGAAGCCAACAAGAUCAGGGAGAAGGGAAAGGCUGCAUACUUCAAGUGGGGCAAGUUCAGGAUGGACGAGCUGAAUGGAGAAAUAGUGUGUGCCAUUGAAAAAUGGUGCAAGCUUGUUGCCGCUCUAUCGAGCAGCCAGCGCGCUAGAGUGGCUGAUACAACAUUGUGCAGCAUGCUGCAGAUACCAUCUAUUAAGAUGCGUACCCUAAUGAUUAGGUAUAUGAUUGAGAAUUUUGAUGCGAGCAAGGCCAGAUUCAUUAUACAAGAGCAGGUUGGGGAGGUGACUCUCGGUGCGGUCGACGUGGAGUGCAUCUUUAACCUCGAGAACCAAGGACUUUCUGCUUCAGACAUUCUGAUUGAAGAAGGCGAGGACAUGAAGGAGCGGUACUUGUACUGGGAGAAGGUGCAACCUGUCAAAGGCGAUUGCGCCUAUAAUCCCAACUUGUCCAUACAACCUCUUAUGAGGAACUGGACCGAAGGUGCAGCCACUAGGAGAGAUCAGUUCGAUUAUGACAAUGGGCGCGACCGUGGUAACGUCAAGGUUGUUGGAGAAGUUGAACAAAUCAGGUGUCAUGUACAAGCCGGCUCCGGUCGUGCCAUCCAUGGACAAUGA